GAUGAAGAACGUAGCGAAAUGCGAUACGUAAUGUGAAUUGCAGAAUUCAGUGAAUCAUCGAAUCUUUGAACGCAUAUUGCGCUCUCUGGUAUUCCGGAGAGCAUGCUUGUUUGAGUAUCAGUAAACACCUCAACUUCCAUAUCUUAUUUGAAAUGGGAGUUGGACUUGAGUGAUCCCAACGCUUUUCCUCACCGAAAAGUGGCGGGUUACUUGAAAUGCAGGUGCAGCUGGACUUUUCUCUGAGCUAUAAGCAUAUCUAUUUCGUCUGCCUAAAAAACAGAUUAUUACCUUUGCUGCAGCUAACAUAAAGGAGAUUAGUUCUUGUGCUGACUGAUGCAGGAUUCACAAAGACAGGCUUCGGCCGACUUUGUAAACUCGAUCUCAAAUCAAGUAAGACUACCCGCUGAACUUAAGCAUAUCAAUAAGCGGAGGA
rnacentral:misc_RNA from 1 species